rnacentral:SRP_RNA from 1 species
GCUGGGCGUGGUAGCUCAUGCCUGUAAUCCCAGCACUUUGGGAGGCCGAGAUGGGAGGAUCACUUGAGCCCAGGAGUUGGAGACGAGCCUGAGCAACAUAGUGAGACCCCAUCUCUA